GAUGAACGCUAGCGGCAGGCCUAAUACAUGCAAGUCGAGGGGUAGAGCUAGCUUGCUAGCUUGAGACCGGCGCACGGGUGCGUAACGCGUAUGCAACCUACCUCAAUCAGGGGGAUAUCCCGGAGAAAUCCGGAUUAACGCCGCCUAAAAACACAGGGUAGCAUUAACCAAUGUUCAAAUAUUUAUAGGAUUGGCAUGGGCAUGCGUGCCAUUAGCUAGUUGGCGGGGUAACGGCCAACCAAGGCGACGAUGGCUAGGGGAUCUGAGAGGAUGACCCCCCACACUGGUACUGAGACACGGACCAGACUCCUACGGGAGGCAGCAGUAAGGAAUAUUGGUCAAUGGGGGCAACCCUGAACCCGCCAUGCCGCGUGCAGGAUGACGGCCCUCCGGGUUGUAAACUGCUUUUGUACGGGAAUAAACCUUUCUUCGUGAAGAAAGCUGAAUGUACCGUAAGAAUAAGGAUCGGCUAACUCCGUGCCAGCAGCCGCAGUAA
rnacentral:rRNA from 1 species